rnacentral:rRNA from 1 species
AGAGUUGAUCCUGGCUUAGGAUGAACGCUAGCUACAGGCUUAACACAUGCAAGUCGAGGGGCAGCAUAACGAAAGCUUGCUUUGUUGAUGGCGACCGGCGCACGGGUGAGUAACGCGUAUCCAACCUUCCCUAUAGUAGAGAAUAGCCCGGCGAAAGUCGGAUUAAUGCUCUAUGUUCUUCUUUGAUGGCAUCUGAUGAGAAGCAAAGGUUCACCGCUAUAGGAUGGGGAUGCGUCUGAUUAGCUUGUUGGCGGGGUAACGGCCCACCAAGGCUACGAUCAGUAGGGUUCUGAGAGGAAGGUCCCCCACAUUGGUACUGAGACACGGACCAAACUCCUACGGGAGGCAGCAGUGAGGAAUAUUGGUCAAUGGGCGAGAGCCUGAACCAGCCAAGUAGCCGUGCAGGAUGACUGCCCUAUGGGUUGUAAACUGCUUUUAUAGGGGAAUAAAGUGAGGAACGUGUUCCUUUUUGUAUGUACCCUAUGAAUAAGGACCGGCUAAUUCCGUGCCAGCCGCUGC